rnacentral:rRNA from 1 species
AUACGUAGGGGGCGAGCGUUGUCCGGAAUGAUUGGGCGUAAAGGGCGCGUAGGCGGCCCGGUAAGUCUGGAGUGAAAGUCCUGUUUUUAAGAUGGGAAUUGCUUUGGAUACUGUCGGGCUUGAGUGCCGGAGAGGUAAGUGGAAUUCCCCGUGUAGCGGUGAAAUGCGUAGAGAUUGGGAGGAACACCAGUGGCGAAGGCGACUUACUGGACUGUAACUGACGCUGAGGCGCGAAAGUGUGGGGAGCAAACAGGAUUAGAUACCCUGGUAGUCCACACUGUAAACGAUGAAUGCUAGGUGUAGGGGGUAUCGACCCCUUCUGUGCCGCAGUCAACACAAUAAGCAUUCCGCCUGGGGAGUACGGCCGCAAGGUUGAAACUCAAAGGAAUUGACGGGG